rnacentral:rRNA from 1 species
GGAAUUAAAUGGCCGCAGUAUUUUGACUGUGCUAAGGUAGCAUAAUCAUUAGUUUUUUAAUUGAAAGCUGGAAUGAAGGGUUGGAUGAAGAAAAGACUAUUUUUAUUUAAUUAUAUUAAAAUUUUAUUUUUAAGUUAAAAAGCUUAAAUUUUAUUAAAAGACGAGAAGACCCUAUAGAGUUUAAUAUAAAUUAGAUUUAAUAAAAUUAGGAUUUAUUUUUUUAUUUUAAAUUUAUAUUUAAUUGGGGUGAUUGAAAAAUUUAUUUAACUUUUUUUUUAUUUUAAUACUAAUAAGUAAUUUUUUGAUCCAAUAUUUUUGAUUAUAAGAUAAAAUUACCUUAGGGAUAACAGCGUAAUUUUAUUAGAGAGUUCAAAUCGAUAAUAAAGAUUGCGACCUCGAUGUUGGAUUAAAAUUUAUAAUUGGUGUAGAAGCNNNNNNNNNN